rnacentral:lncRNA from 1 species
AUGGGCUCCCAUGUGGCUGUCUUUGAUGAUGUCAUCAAGGUGUUCAGUGACAUGAAAGUGUGCAAGUCUUCAACACUAGAAAAGGUGAAGAAGCGCAAGAAGUUGCUGCUCUUCUGCCUGAGUGAGUACAAGAAGUACAUCAUCCUUGCGGAGGCCAAGAAGAUCCUGGUAAGUAAUGUGGACCAAACCAUUGAUGAUCCCUAUGCCACUUUUGUCAAGAUGCUGACAGUAAGGACUGCCGCUACGCCCCUUAUGACGCCACCAAGGACAGCAAGAAGAAGGACCUGGUGUUUAUCUUCUGGGCCUCUGAGUCUGCAUCCAUUAAGAGCAAAAUGAUCUAUGCCAGCUCCAAAGACGUCAUCAAGAAGCAGCUAGGGGUCAGCACUGUCGUCUUCUUGGAGGGCAAACUUU